AUUGAACGCUGGCGGCAGACCUAACAAAUGCAAGUCGAACGAGUGGCGGACGGGUGAGUAAUGUCUGGGAAACUGCCCGAUGGAGGGGGAUAACUACUGGAAACGGUAGCUAAUACCGCAUACCAUCGGAUGUGCCCACAUGGGACUAGAUAGUGGGUGGGGGAACGGCUCACCUAGGCGACGAGCCCUAGAGGGUCUGAGAGGAUGACCAGCCACGCUGGAACCUAGACACGGUCCAGACUCCUACGGGAGGUAGCAGUGGGGAAUAUUGCACAAUUGGCGCAAGCCUGAUGCAGCCAUGCCUCGUGUAUGAAGAAGGCCUUCGGGUUGUAAAGUACUUUCAGCGAGGAGGCGUUACUCGAAGAAGAAGCACCGGCUAACUCCGUGCCAGCAGCCGCGGUAAUUC
rnacentral:rRNA from 1 species